rnacentral:tRNA from 1 species
CAAAGUGUAGUCUAAUCAAGACACCCCGCUUACACCGGGGAAAAAUCUGUUGAAUCCAGAUCAUCUUGA